AGAAGGGAUGAGGCGCCCUGCGGCGGUGGCGCCCCUCGACCACGCGGGAAACCCUGCACGGUUUUCUGGCCUCCACACUCGUACCCCUGGUUUCAAACUCUCGGGCGGCACUGCACGCGGAUGUGGAGCCUCUCAGCCGUCCCGCAGCCAUUCUUUCGGCCCUGUUCAGCGUCUCUGGCCAAUGACCCUGGCCAGGGCCCAACAAACAAGUCCGCCAGGCUCCCGAGACCUUGAGCUCAGACCAUCAACACACAAAGGAACAGGCCCCCAGGAAAUCUGGAAUGCGGAGCGCAUCCUGGCGCAGGCAUCCAGAAGAGGGGCCCAGUUCCGCAAGGGCAAGCGACCUGCUGAAGCCCUGGGGGCCCUGUGGAUGCUCCCUCCCCCUUCAGCCUCCUCCAAGCCUUGCCAGGGAGGCGUCAUGAUCCCCAGUUCUCCAGGAGGAAACAGGGUGAGUUGGCCUGAAGACCACGCAGCCACGAAGGGCAACACUGAGGCUCUCAGAUCCCAAAGUCCUUCUUCUCUGCGCUGCACCCACUGUCUUGCGGAAGCCGUGAGGAGGUUACCCAAAGGGCAGAUUUAAGGCCAGAGCUGCCAGAGCACAUCCUACCCCUCCACCGCCCCCACCAGCGAGAGAGAGGGGGGGGGGGGAACGUUCAGCGUCACUGAAUUGUGCGUGCAGAAAUCUUAGAUCUUAAAUUCACUUUACAGGUUGUGCCCUAGGUUUGUAGUAGUCUUUGUCACGAAUUACAGGAGGGGGUGAGCUCUGCAGGUACCCGGUGCACCAGUGCCUUUAAGAUGUUAAUCUGCUUCGGGGAGGGCCCAGCCUAGUGGGAAGUCAGGAAGAGGCGGGGUAAGUGCACAGGGGCCCAGCCUGUGUGAAGGGUCCCGGAAGUGUGCCCUGGAUUGUAACCGGAUAGGCAAAUGGAUGCCUCUGCCUGAUGAGGGAGGGAGAAGCUGAAUUUCAAUCAGGCUGGGAAAGGCUUCUUGGAGGAGGUGGCCCCUGUGCUGGGCAUAGACACCUCACUAGGCUUCAGAGAGGCCCAGAUGGUCUGAGCGUGCCCCUCAGGGGUCAUCCAGCUUUUGGAUGGUGAGCAGGGGUGUUUGGGGAUCACCCUCAAAGCCUAAAGGUCCCAAACCAGAGACCUCUUGGAGCUGGGCUCUUCCCUGGGUGGGGAAAUUCCAAUGGGUUCUCUUGUCUAAAGAAACAAGAGUUGUAUGGACAAAGCAGCCUCAGAGCAGGUUAUCUGUGAGGAAUUUUUAGUGUUCUUGUUUGCAUGUUUUAUUGAUUCAUUUUUUAGUAAAUAACAGAUGGUUUAAGCUAAAAAAAGUCUCAAAAGGGCUCAUAGUAAAAGUGACUCCCCCUUACCACCCCUCACCCAGUACCCUUCCCAGAAGCAACCAGUGUUUUCUGCUUGUGUAUACUUCCAGACAGAUUUUAUGCAUAUACAAGCAAAUACCUGUGUGUAUACAGUUAAAAUUCAUGGUAUAACUUAUCAUGUUCCAAUUAAGCCCACUUAAAUUGGCAAACCAGGAGCCUUGCCCAGCAGGUAAAUAAAUACAGAGGACUAGGCAGGGUAUCAGGGAUCUUAGGCCCAUCUGGCCUGUUAGGCUCAUGAGUCCCUAUGGCCCCAUCAUUCCAGAUCUUCUGAUUAUUGAGAAGAAAUCAGUAAUGUGGAUUUGUAGAUGAAACAGCUCAAUUGUAAAUGAAUGCAAUUGAUUUAUUAAAAACAAACAUCCACACUCUUGGCCAUUUAUCCCAGGAAAAUGAAAACGUAUGUUUACACAAAAGCCCAUACAUAAAAUGUUCAAAGCAGCUUUAUUCAUAAUAACCCAAAACUGAAACCAGCAUAGAGGUCCUUCCACAGGUGAUGGUUAAACAGACUGGGUGCAUCCACACCGUGGAAUGCUACUCGGCAAUAAAGGAACAAACUGCUGACACACUGGACAACUCAAAUCUGCAGGAAACUAUGCUGAGUGGAAAAAAAGCCAAUCGCAAAAGGUUACAUACGGCAUAAUUUCAUUCAUACAACGUUCUUGAAAAGCAACGUUAUAGAACUGGAGAACAGGCGAGGACACUGAGACCCAGAGACGCAGAGUGAGGUGCCCCAUGAUGCCACUGUGUCUGACCGAGACCUUGGCCCCAGUGCAUGUUCCUGUAUUUGGGGGCUGCGAUCGAGGAUCUGCCUUCCCAAAGCUUCUCUCCAUCCGUCGACCUAAACUCUCCCCUCGGGAGCACCACUGAGGAUGACCCUGACACGGCCCUUGCCCCACUGCUUGUCCUCUACACUCCUGACACAGGCCUGCGGGACGAGGGGAUGCCGAGACACAGCUCAGCUUGAGGGUGAGGCCCCGACGCCACUCCGAGCCUGGUGGUCUGCACCCCAGUCCUGGAUCCUCCACUAUGGCCUUGGCCAAGUCACCUCGACUUCCUUUCUGUCCUGAGGGAGCUGAUUGUGCACCUUUACUCUUUCCUGACACAGCUGCUUAGAGUUGUAUUAAUCAGGGUUCUCCAGAGAACCAGAAUAGGAUGUUCAUGCAUGUGUACGUUUCAAGAGAAUGUUCAUGCAUGUGUACGUUUCAAGAGAUUUAUUUAUUUAUUUACGUAUUUAUUUAUUCAUUUAUUUUUAAAGAUUUUUUUUGAUGUGGACCAUUUUUUUUUUUAAGUCUUUAUUGAAUUUGUUACAAUAUUGCUUCUGUCUUAUGUUUUGGUUUUCUGGCCACGAGGCAUAUGGGAUCUUAGUUCCCCCAUCAGGGAUCGAACUCGCACCCCCUGCAUUGGAAGGCAAAGUCUUAACCACUGGACCGCCUGGGAAGUCCCUCAAGAGAUUUAUUAUAAGGAAUGAUUCACAUGGUUAAUGAGGCUUACAAAUCCCAACAUCUGUGGUCAGCAAGCCGGAGACCCAGGAGGGCCAAUGCUGUGGUCCAGCCCAAGUCCGAAGGCCUGAGAACCGGCAGAACCAAUGGGCUAAGUUCCAGCCCAAGGGCAGGAGAGGACCCAAGUCUCAGCUCAGCACUCAGGCCAAGGAAAUUCCCUCUUACUCAGCCUUUUUGUUCUAUUCGGGUCUUCAGCUGACUGGACCGCAUUAGGGAGGGCAAUUCACUUUACUCAGUCUACCGAUUCAGGCGUUAAUCUCAUCCACAAACACCCUCACGCAGCUACUAAUUUCCCACAAGCACUGGUUUCUGGGCUUCCCACAAAUUAUGAACUGCUGUGUUUUCACUCUUUCAACUCUCAUCCAGUUGAAAAUAUUUUGAAACUUCCCCUGUUCAUUUUACUUCCCAUUGUUCAUUGCUUAUUUAAAAGUAGGUGGUUUGAUUUUCAAAUAUUUUUGAGAUUUUCUGGAUAGCUUUUUAAUUUUCUUUUUCAUCACAGUAAAUACACAGAACAGAUAUUAUCUUCUUAACCAUUGUUGUUCAGUGGCAUAAGUACAUUCACAUUGUUGUGCAACAAUCACCCCCAUCCAUCUCUAGAACUCUUUUCAUUUUCCAAAACUGAAACUCUGUCCCCAACAAACACUAACUCCCCAUUCCUCUCUCCCUGAGCACCUGGCAACCACCUUUCUACUUUCUGUCUCUAUGAAUUUGACUGCUCUAGGUACCACAUAUAGGUGGAAUUAUACAGUAUUUGUCUUUUUGUGACUGCCUAUUUCACUGAGCAUAAUGUUCAUAAGGUUCAUAAGGUUCAUCCAUGUUGUCGCAUGCAUCAGAAUUUCCUUCCUUUUUAAGGCUGAACAAUAUUCCGUUGUAUGCAGAGACCACAUUUUGUUUAUCUGUCAUCUGUUGCUGGACAUCUGGGUUACUUCUAACUUUUAGCUAUUGCAAAGAGUACUACUGGCACACAGGUGUAAAACUAUCUCUUGAAACCCUGCUUUCAAUUGCUUUGGACGUAUACUCAGAAGUGGAAUUGCUGGAUAUAGUAAUUCUAUGUUAAAUUUUUUGAGGAACUGUCAUAAUGUUUUCCCCAGAGGCUGCAUCAUUUUACAUUCACACCAGCAAUGUAUGAGGGUCCAAUUUCUCUACAUCCUUGCCAACACUUGUUAUUUUCUGGGUUUUUAAAAAUAGUAUCUACCCUAAUGGGUGUGAAAAAGAGCUUAUCUUUAUUAAUACCUAAUUUAACAUGAUUUUUGAGAGUUAUUUUAUGGUCCAGCAUGUGGACUAUAU